rnacentral:rRNA from 1 species
GCCUAAAGCGUCCGUAGCCUGUUUUGUAAGUUUUCGGUUAAAUCCAUACGCUCAACGUAUGGGCUGCCGGAAAUACUGCAAAACUAGGGAGUGGGAGAGGUAGACGGUACUCGGGAGGAAGGGGUAAAAUCCUUUGAUCUCUCGAUGACCACCUGUGGCGAAGGCGGUCUACCAGAACACGUCCGACGGUGAGGGAUGAAAGCUGGGGGAGCAAACCGGAUUAGAUACCCGGGUAGUCCCAGCUGUAAACUAUGCAAACUCAGUGAUGCAUUGGCUUGAUGCCAAUGCAGUGUUGCAGGGAAGCCGUUAAGUUUGCCGCCUGGGAAGUACGUACGCAAGUAUGAAACUUAAAGGAAUUGGCGGGGGAGCACCACAAGGGGUGAAGCCUGCGGUUCAAUUGGAGUCAACGCCAGAAAUCUUACCUGGGGAGACAGCAGAAUGAAGGUCAAGCUGAAGACUUUACCAGACAAGCUGAGAGGUGGUGCAUGGCCGUCGUCAGCUCGUGCCGUGAGAUGUCCUGUUAAGUCAGGUAACGAGCGAGAUCCCUGCCGCUAGUUGCUACCAUUACUCUCCGGAGUAGUGGGGCGAAUUAGUGGGACCGCCGCAGUUAAUGCGGAGGAAGGAGAGGGCCACGGCAGGUCAGUAUGCCCCGAA